rnacentral:lncRNA from 1 species
UGCUAUUGAAAAUUUGACCCAUUUAGUCUAUAUGCUAAAAUAUGACUAGGACAUGCAAAUGAUAGUCCAUUUAGGCUAAAGGAUGGUAUACUUGGCCCAAACUAAUAAAAUUGGGCUAUAACUAGUUAGCUAAUUGCAUGAAAAGUAAAUUGUCCAUUUAGGCUAAAGAUGGUAAGGUUGGGCUAGAUUAAAUAAAACUAGGCUAGAACCAGGUGGAUCUUUGCCACGUUAUAUUGUUUGUGUGUAGUAUAUUAUGCCAUGCUGUAUUUAUAAGGAAUAAAUUA